GUCGGGUACGGAGACAUGUACCCUACGACCACGGUCGGGAAACUCAUCGGAUCCAUCUGCUGUGUUUGUGGUGUGCUCGUCAUCGCGUUACCCAUUCCCAUCAUCGUCAAUAAC
rfam:Orchesella cincta Ocin01_Sc1101, whole genome shotgun sequence.